AUCCAUCUGACGAGUCCCAAAUGGGACGAAACGCGCGUCCUGCAU
rnacentral:hammerhead_ribozyme from 1 species